GAGUUUGAUCGUGGCUCAGGACGAACGCUGGCGGCGUGCCUAACACAUGCAAGUCGAGCGGGGAACAUUGAAAGCUUGCUUUUGGUGUUUCUAGCGGCGGACGGGUGAGUAACGCGUGAGCAAUCUGUCUCAGACAGGGGGAUAACGCAGCGAAAGUUGCACUAAUACCGCAUAAGACCACAGAGCCACACGGCAUAGGGGUCAAAGGAGCAAUCCGGUCUGAGGUGAGCUCGCGUCCCAUUAGGUAGUUGGUGAGGUAACGGCCCACCAAGCCUGCGAUGGGUAGCCGACCUGAGAGGGUGAUCGGCCACACUGGAACUGAGACACGGUCCAGACUCCUACGGGAGGCAGCAGUGGGGAAUAUUGGGCAAUGGGGGAAACCCUGACCCAGCAACGCCGCGUGAGGGAAGAAGGUUUUCGGAUUGUAAACCUCUGUCCUAAGAG
rnacentral:rRNA from 1 species